GAUUUCUACAGGAGUUAACGCUCCUUUAUCCUCGCUAGCCAGGACACCCUUCCCACACCUUGUAUUGAAGUGGUAGUCGCGCAGUCGCCUCGGAUGCUUUGCAACCCCGUGGACUGUAGCCCACCAGGCUCCUCUGUCCAUGGGAUUUCCCAGGCAAGAAUACUGGAGCGGGCUGCCAUCCCCUUCUCCAGGGGAUCUUCCUGACCCAGUGUUUCCUGUAAGAAGACUCAAACAAGAUAUGUAUUUCAGACCUAGGAGGAAAAGCCUGGUUUCUUCCAAGGAACUGUUCUGGAGGCCAGACGUCUGGAAUCAGCAUCACUGGGCUGAAAUCAACGUGUUGGCACCCUCUCCAGAGGCGGGGGGCCAGUAGGG
ensembl:lncRNA